rnacentral:rRNA from 1 species
UACGGAGGAUGCGAGCGUUAUCCGGAUUUAUUGGGUUUAAAGGGUGCGUAGGCGGGCUGUUAAGACAGCGGUCAAAUGUCGGGGCUCAACCCCGGCCUGCCGUUGAAACUGGCGGCCUCGAGUGGGCGAGAAGUAUGCGGAAUGCGUGGUGUAGCGGUGAAAUGCAUAGAUAUCACGCAGAACUCCGAUUGCGAAGGCAGCAUACCGGCGCCCGACUGACGCUGAGGCACGAAAGCGUGGGUAUCGAACAGG